rnacentral:lncRNA from 1 species
UUCACAAGCAGGAUAAACAUUGCAAUAUAUAAUAGAUGGAAGAGUAAUAAAAUUUGUCUUACAAUCGCCACAAGCUAAAUUACAGAUCCACACAGCCAUUCAUUAUUUCGAUAUAAAACAGGGUCCGAGUACGGACAAGAUAGACGACAAAAUUUAAUGCUAUCCCACCUUGCUAGGACCACGAUCACGACCAAGUGCCUCUAGUCCUCGGGGUACGUCACAUGCAACCGGCCACAGUCCUCGUCAAACUCCCACUUCAGCUGGGUAUCCUCGGAAGCAUUUGUAUCUGGGGUACCUGUACCUGUGGGUGGUUGUAGUAAUCUGUGAGCCACAAGGACUCAGCAAUCUCAUGACCUUAGAUUCGAAUCUAACUAAGUCACUAGGUGAGGAUGGGGUAUGUGUUUGGGUUUGCGGCAACCUAAGCAUUUAUAGUGGCUAACUUACAUUGAACAAGAAUUAAAGAUAUGGUGGUCUACGCAUGACGUUCGUUAACUAAGAAUAAUCACUAAGUGAUCCUGGACGCCAACUUACAUCAGUCAUAACCCCACCAUGUUCUCGAUUAGAGAAGGAACUCUGAAGGAGACAUUCCCAGUUACGCACACAGUUGGCAUGUUUUAAUUAAGUUACUUAAAGUUAUCUAGAACCGGAUGUUAACAAAGUUUCCAUGUUUGCCACAUAACCGCGGACAUGGCUUUCCAAAAGAUUUAACCCUGCAGGGGUGUUCGAAUUAAUCCAUCACAAAUUACCACAGGACGCAUAGAAAUCGUCGAUCAUGAAUGUCGUGACCUCGUUGGAUUCCUUAGUGGAAAACCUCAACUCAGAGAAGACCCAAAGUCUCACCGGAAUCCCAAUGCACAAGAUAUAUCGUUAAGGUAAGACAAGUCAAGCAAGACCUCUCGACAUGUCGACGAACCCGAUGAGCGCGUAUCUCGUUGUCAAGACACGACGGAUAAGCGAUGGUUACGACACCAAAACACCGAGUUACCCCAGGGAGCAUUAAUAAGCUGCUCUGGGUUGGACCAACACUCAUGAGGAUCACUGGCCUGGGGGUUGAUUAAUUCUCCUCGGGGUAGCUAUUCCCUAUGCUUUUAUUAUUAAGAUGUUAGCAAAUUAACACCAAAGUUGGGUCUUGCCAGACAACCCUUAGUCUAAACAAUUUACCAAGGGGGUCCCCAUAACAACCCCGAACGUGUUUGGUCCGCUCAGUUAUGGAAUAAAACAUCGGAAGCCGAAACUAAUAUGUGAGGAUGGGGUAUGUGUUUGAGUUUGCAGGAACCUAAGCAUUUAUGGUGUAUAACUUACGUUGAACAAGAAUUAAAGAUAUAGUGGUAUACGCAUGACGAUUGUGAACUAAGAAUAAUCACUAAUAGAUCAUAAACGCCUACUUACAUCAUUCACAACCCCACCUAUUCUCGAUGAGAGAAGGAUCUCUGAAGAAGAUAGUCACGGUUACACACAGUUGGCAAGUUUUAAUUAAGUUACUUUAAGUCAUCUAGAACCGGGUGCUAACAAAGUAUCCAUGUUUGCCACAUAGCCGCAGCACGGCUUUCCGAAAUAUUUAACCCUACAGGGGUGCUCCGACUAAUCCAUCACAAAUUACCACAGGCCCCAUAGAAACCCUCGAUCAUGAAAUUCGUGAUCUCGUCGGAUUUCUUAGUGGAAAACCUCAACUCUAUGAAGACCAAAGUCUCACCGGAAUUCCAAUGCACAAGAUAUAUCGUUAAGGUAAGACAAGUCCAGCAAGACCACCCGAUGUGUCGACGAACCCGAUAAGAGCCGCAUAUCUCGUUCUCACGACAGAAUAGAUGGAACUAGCUAUGGGGAAAACCAAUCCCCACCUCGUGGUGGUGCAGGCAGUACAUUUUGGACCAACAAUCAUGAGGAGCACUGGCCCGGGUUGUUGAUUAAGUCUCCUCGGGGUAGCUAUUCCCUAUGCUUUUUAUUAAGUUGUUGGCAAAUUUAACACCAAAGUUGGGUCUUGCCAGACAAGCUUAACACUAAACGAUUUACGAAGGGGGUCCCCAUAGCAACCCCGAAGCUGUUAGGAGCGCUCAGUUAUGGAAUAAAACAUCGGUUGCCGAAACUAAGGUGGCAAAGGCGGAACAAAUCACCUAGAAAGAAGCCAGGUCUUCCGCCUUUUACCAAGUAUAUAGGUGCAUUAAUUAAAUAACAUUUAAAAUAAGAUGAUAAUAAAAUUGCCCAUGUUAUCACAUGGAUGAGCUUGCACCUGCAACUAGCAACGCUAAUGAAAUUGUUGAGCAAGCCUAACUUAGCCAAACAAUAUUUGCUAGGAGGGGAAAUGUUAGAGGUUUCAUGGCAAUGUUUGAUGGCAUAUAUAUCAUGUGGUAGGCAGCGGAAAAAACGGUGGAAAUGAAUCAACUAUUCAUAACAAAGCUAUAAACGGUGUCAAGGUCAUGAUCAUCUUGUGUGUGAUAUCUUCAGAGUGGAACUGUUGCCGAUCUUACUGAAUGAACUCACCGGACUCCUUGAACUCGUUUCACGCACCCAUUGCUACCAAAAGAAACAAUCACCCAAUAAACACCAGCAAGUGAUAAUACAACACACAAUAUGAUGCAUGUAUGGCACACACUUCAAAGCACACAUAGAAAUAAUCCUACUCAAAUGACAAAGUGCCACCUCAUCACAAAAUGGCACUUUUUUAGAACUGCUCAAAACUGCAAACUAGUGCAACCAUUAGAUUCCUUGGGUUUUUCUACCCCAAAUCCAUAUAUCAUACUGCUAUACUUGCAUGCAUAAAAAUACCACAAAACUGAAAAGGAAAUCUACCGAGAAUCAUAAAUCACUAUAUGUCAAAAUGAGAGGUUGAUUUUGCAUAUGCCAGGUUUGGCAUAUUCCAUCUCUGGAAUAUUAAAGAUAUGGAAAUACCCACAACUAAAAAUAAAUGCCCUCAAAAUAUAAUAUAACAUGGGGGGGCACGGGUUAUAGGCACCAGGGCCCUAGUGCAUGACUGGUGGGUUGUGUGGCCCACUGUCAGUGGCACAACUACAACAAUCAGCAACUUGCAACAGAAAAAAUGAAAAGGGGAGAAAUGUGGGUCGAACCCACCACCUCACCAAACACAACCAUGCCCCCAUGCCACUGGGCUACUUUGAUGUAGCUGCACUAAUAGGGGAGAAACUCAGAUAACCAACCAUUGCAUCCUAAUCCAUAGAAGGAAAAAAUAACCCAAAAGGGGUGCGCGCUAGGGGUCUCAAACCCACGACCAACAAGUGCGGCUGUGGCUCGGUUGCCACCGCGGUAGGUUGCGGGUUCUGCUAGAAAAGGGGCACCAAUUCAGAUAAGCAUAUCACAGGCUACACAACAGACCGAAAUUGCAGAAUUUAAAAGGGGUGCGGGGUUUUGACCCAAGACCAUCAGGUCUUUGUGUUGCGCUAGAACUAGUAGGCUAGGUAGGGGGAUUCUGUUGUAUGUUGGGAUCCACACGAGAUGUCAAAUUAAAAGGGGACGCCUUCCACUGCUAGAGAAGAGAGACGCCGGCGGCAUCUCACCGGUGCAAGCACAAGCACGCACACUCAUGACACUACAUGGGGAAACUGCUAGCGGUGUUGUGUGCUCGAGCAAAGGGCAUCUCUGGCCUUCGCAAACGCGCAUGCAAGCAAGCAAGCAGCUGUGCACGAGCGAGUGCAGCUGCACUCGCCGGUGCACUCUGCAACUGCUGCUACUACCACUAUGUCUCUGCAGCUACUUCCACUAUGGCAUUGCUGCUACUGCCACUACGAUGUUGCUUCUACUACCACAAUGGCGUUGCUUCUAGUGACACUACGACGUUGCUGUUAUUACGCGACGGUAGUGAAAAAAGCAACGGCGAUGGCAGUCUACGUGACGCCGGAUGGCUACAGACACAGAGGGGGAAGCAGAGGAGAGCAGUGUUGCGGCUCACCCAGGGUGGAGGGGAUUGGAACUCUAACGAAGGGGAGGAACGACGCGUCGACGAUCUCCUUGCAGAAGAGGUCGCAUGAGGUGCUGAAGAGCCAAUCGUCAUGGACGUCGAAGUGCUCACUCCUGGCGCCCGAUCACUACGGGAAUGGAUCCCUCUUGGCGUCCGCAUCCUUCGGGUGCAGCUGGGGAAGAAGGGGGCGACGCCUACGCCGGUGACGAGCUUGAGUAGGAGGCGGCCGUGGCGAUGAUGGUGGUGCUUGGGUCCUCGCCCCGAGGGUGCUAGGGGAAGAGGAGGAGGGA